UUUUUUUUUUUUUUGAAAUGGAGUCUCGCACUGUCUCCCAGGCUGGAGUGCAGUGGAUCUGUCUCAGCUCACUGCAACCUCUGCCUACCAGGUUCAAGUGAUUCUCCUGCCUCAGCCCCCCAAGUAGCUGGGACUACAGGCACGCACCACCACUCUUGGAUAAUUUUUGUAGUUUUUAGUAGAGAAGGGGUUUCAUCAUAUUGGGCAGGCUGGUCUCGAACUCCUGACCUCGUGAUCUGCCCACCUCGGCUUCCAAAAGUGCUGGGAUUACAGGCAUGAGCCACAGCGUCCAGCCCUUUAUAUCACUUUUAAAAUCAAUAUUCAAUUUGAUUCAUCUAUAUACUCAUUCACUUUGUUGCUGUUUAUUCCUGCCUUCAUCUCCCAAUGAAAUCAUACUGUCUCUGAGAUAGUUUUCCUUCUUCUUGAAGACAACAGUGAAUUUUCUUUAAUAAACUGCUGGUGAUGAACCUCUCAGGUUUUGUCUGAGUACCUGGUAGUAUUCUGUCUUCAUCCUUAAAAGAAAAUAUUCACUGGCAAUACAAUUGUAGAUUUGUAGUCAUUAUUAUUUUAGUAUUUCAAAGAUGCAAAUCCUUUCUCUUAUAACUUGCACUGUUUCUGUUGAGAAGUCCAUCUGAUAUUUGCUCUUUUGUAAAUUUUUUUCUCCCCCUCUAAUUGCUUUUAAAAUUGUUUUCCUUGUUUCUAUUUUUCUGCAUUUUUAUUAUAAUGUGUCUAGGCGUGAUUUACUUUUUAUUUAUCUGGCUUGGUGCUCACUAAACUUUAUGACUCAUCUGUAAAUUGAUUUCUUUCACCAGGUAUGGAAAAUUCUCAGUCAUUAUGUUUUCAAAUAUUGCUUCUGUUUCACUCUUUUUCUCCUCUUUUUCCAAUGCUUAAUGUAUGUUAAAUGUUCUCACUCAAUUAUCCAUAUUUUCAUACCUUUAUUUUUCUUCCUCUGUACUUCAUGUCUCAUUUUGAAUAUUUUCUUCUUGUCUAUCUUCUAGUUUAUUAAUUCUCUCUUCAGCUUUGUUUUUUUAAACUGCUGUUAAAGUCACCCAUUUAGGUUUUCUUUAAAAUUUAGUUAUUCUAUUUUUCAUUAUUUUUUAAAAUUGAGGUCUUUAAAAUGUUUUCCAGUUGUCUGCCAAGUUUUUCAAUAUUGUCUUUAUCAUCCUUGAGCAUAAUUAUUUUAAAGCCUAUAUCUUUUCAUUUCAGUAUUUGAAGCACAUGCUUAUCUUUUUCUAUUAUGUAAUAUAUCUGCUGAGUUUUGCUUAUGUUGUUUUAUUUCCUAUGCCUUGUUCAUUUUUGAUUUUGUGCUGGACACUAUGUUUGAAAAGUUGUUGUAGAAGUAAUUAGAGGACUAGGAUGAUGUUAUCUUUAUUCAGAAAAUAUUUUUAUUUGUGUCUCUCAGGUGCUUGAAGACAUUAGCAAUGGAGGAUCACUUUAACUCAGUAUUUCAGACCCAAGAUUUUUCUGUGCUACCAGAUGACUCAAAACCAAUUACAGUCUGUUCAUGGGAUCUUUCACUUCCAAUUCAGUUUCUCCUUCAGACACAUUUUUGGUUUCUGUCUUAAAGGAUGAGGGAGGUGCUUAAUGGUGCCCCUGCUCUCAAUGGGCCCUGGGCUCCGGUUUCUGUAUCCUAAUCAAAAAUUCUCUUACCCACAUCUAAUAUGUUCUGUAACUUGUUCCAUGCAUUUUAUUUUUAACGAUUUUUUUUUUUUACUUCUAAAGUUCUGGUUAUUUUUUCCACAUCUGUCUAGUCGUUUUUGAUGGUCUCAGGUUGCCUGUUCAUGUUUAUGAUUCUAUGUUGCAUUUCUUUAAAUAUUUACUACAUUGGUUUUAUAUGCUCUGUCCUUGAUCAUUCUAAUAUUAGAGGCUUUUGGAAGUCUAAAUCUGCUGUUUGUUUCUAUUGCCCUAAUCUCCGAUGGUCUGUUCUCUUUUUACUUGUUGAUCUUUGAAUGUGAGCUCAUAUUUGGUUGGUCUUAAUUUGUGGAGCCUAAACUGAGGACGUUUUCCACUAGAGAGGAUUUGUGUUUGCUUCUGUAACAAGCCAAGAGACCCUGAUGACUGGGACCACUGUCAUCCCGCGUGAUUUAGCUUGCACACCUUCUCUAGGCAUUGUCUUUAAGUCUCAGUUCAGUGUCAUUGGUCAGUGUGCUCCUGGGCAACUUCCUUGAUUUUCUUUGAGCCCAGUAACACUGCAGAUCAAGCCUGGUCAGGGUCUAGCUUCUUGUAGGCAAAUGGGGAGCCCUUCAGAGUGUCCAGUCCACCCUGCUUUCGGAAGCAUUAGUCUAUUCUUGCUGAGCGUGAGUUUGGCUUCCUCAGUGCUUCUUCCCCGCAUCGCGCAUUAUAUUAGUCUCCGUGGAGUUCUUCCUGUUGCAGCUCUCCAACAUGCUGCCUCCCCUCAUGCUUCUGAUGCUGGGUCAUGUGCCCCUGUGAUAGCCGUGUAGGGUCCAGUGUGUUUCCCCCAUCCAGCCGCUCUUCCUCUCAAGCCUCCAAGCACAAUGAGCUGUAUGGCUGGGUGGUGUCCUAGGUGCAGGGAGCAGGUGGGUGGGCUUGCUGGAGACCUCCCUGUAUGCGCAUGGCCAGGAAUAACAGUCCAUGAACAAGCUGGGGUCUCGUGGAAGCCCCUAGUGGCAAAGGUCUCACUUUCCUCACUGCACUGUCCUUUUCAAAUGAAUCCAGGAGCUGGUGUCUUGAUGGGUCUGGCUUGCUCUGGACACAGGUCUCUAUUGGGUCUCCACGUCCCGUGAUGCCUCCCAGUGACCCUUCCCUGCCUCUUCCACAGCUGCUGCCAUCUCAGGAGCUUCUGUGUCUCAGCUGAGAUGCUUGGCAGAGGCACGUAAGGGAGGCAUGGCCAUGGAAGCUGGGGCGCUGGGACGGCCAUCUCGUUUCAUCUGCACUGGCUCCAGUGGCCUCUUAUAGAGGGGGCUGCUGCCUUCUCUGUCCGGCCCCUCUCUCAUGUUUUCACUCAUUGGGGGCUUUGCCUUCCAAGGUAGAGAAGCGUUUUCAUGGAACUUCCCUGGACUUUGGCUUCACAGCUGCAGUUGAUGGAGUGUGACUUGAUGGCUUAAAACAACACUAAUGUAUCCUCUCACAUUUCAAGAGGCCAGAAGACUGAGAUCGAGGUGUCGGCAGGGUUGAUUCCUUCUGGAGGUUCCGAGGGAGAAACCGUGACAGGCCUCUCUCCUUGCUCCUGGUGGCGGCUGGCUGCUGUUGACUUUCUUUGGAUUAUAGACGCAUCGCUGCGCUCUCUGCCUUCCUCUCCACCAGGCCUUUCCUGUCGGUGUGCCCUUUCCCUGGACAGUGAGGACGCCCCAAAGUCCAUUAAGGCCA
rnacentral:lncRNA from 10 species